AACUGAGGCCCAGAGAUGAGGCCUGCUGAUGCGGAAGCAUGGGCUAUUUGGCCCUGAGCCUUCUGAUGUGAGCUAGAGGAGAAACAGAGACUUCUGCGUGACCAAGGGGCCCUGCCCCCAAUUUUGGGCCCCCAGUCUUCCCUGGAGCCCCAGGGGCCUUCCAAGGUGGCCUCUUAAUCACUGCUGGUUAAUUAAGGAGGUUGGACAACUCCACCUGGCCCUUGUGGGCCUGUCUGGGACAGGACUGCAACCUGGCUGUACUCCACUGUGGGGCCCUGCUCCUCAGCUGAGCCCCACCUGUGUGGGUCUCUGGGUGCCCACGUGAGGAGCCUGGGGUCCUUGGUGGGUGAGGGGCUGCGGUGGGAGGCAGGGAUGCCACCACUAUGGGUACUCCCCGAAUCAGGCACAGCGUGGGCGGCUGUGGCUGGGCUAAUGAGGCUCCACACUGCCAAGGAGAACUGGAGGAGUUGAGACAGGUUCUGGGUAAGGGUCACAACAGAUGAAGAGGCAAAUGCCCACCUGUGGGGUGUGUGUGACAGAAGCAAACCACGAACUGUGCCGGACGGACGAUGAAGCCCCUUUCUGUCACAACAUGAGCCCCUGGUCUCAGGAGUUAACCGCCUGCAGUGCUGGGCACGGUGCCUGGCAUGGAGGAGGACAGGAACGGAGGAAGAACAUCCAGGUUGGUGAUGUCCUGCUUGCCGCCUGGGAUGCUGGGAAGAGGAAGGGCCUGGGCUCCUGCCUUCAGCGGACACCUGUGUCUUGGGCCCCUAGGCCCCUGUACAGAUGGGAAACCUGACUCAGCUGAGUUAGCCUGAUACGCAGGUGUGGAGACGGCCCAGGAACACCACAUGCUCAGAAACAGGCUCAGAGGCAGCAGCACACAGCUCUGUGAGUCUUGGAGGACACUGCCUGGUUGUGCCAGCUUCAGGGGCAUCAUGCCCACGAGAGCCUACCAGCACUCCCAAACCCUGGAGAGUGCCACCUGUGUGCCUUCUUGGAUCAGACCCACCUGCACCAUCUGUCUUGUGUACAUAUAUAUUGCACUACCUGGACCUCAGUGAUUGGACCUGGGAAAUGGGAUGAAGUGGUGGGUCCAAGGUUGUUUUUCUGUGGGUUUCCCAGCCACCUUGAGGACUAAAGAGGGGGUUCAGCCUGCUGGAGUACCUGGUGCUCACAUGGAAUGAGGACCCCUCUCUGACUCUGCUUCUGGCCCUAGCUGGCACGAGCAUGGCACCAGGCCAUGCUACUCUGAGGCAGCUCCCAUGCCAGCCUCAAGGGCCCCUCCAGGUGACAUGGCAGGGAUGUGCCUGGGGCAGGAGUGCCCACGUGCACCAUGACAGUGGGGUCUGGGCUUUGCUCCUGCUCACAUCUUCCCUUGGGUAGAAGGAGUCAACCAGAGUCCCUGGGCAUUUAGGACCAGUUCAGGGUAGCCUUGGUGUUUUUGAUGUAAAAAGGAGAGGAGAGGUCAGGCAAGAUGGACCAGUAUUGAGGGAUGGACCUAUAGCCAGGGACUGCAUAGAAAAAACACUCGGUGCCCUCCAGGUCUUCUGUAGAGGCUGUGGCUCUAGGCCAUACAUCGGCUCCUUCACUGACUGCCCAUGGGUCAGACUGAGAUUAUGUCACAGAAAACACACAGGAGACCCCUUCGUCCAUGCUCCUGGCAGUGUGGGAGAGAUUCCAGGACAGGAGGAAGCAGCCCAGUUUGACUCUGCACAGGCUGCAGGGAGACACAUGUUGUAGGGGUUCAUGGUUCUGAUGUUCUCCACGGAGAAGCUAGGCAGCCUGUUGGAUUUGAUGGAAGACUGUGCACGGUGAAGGGACAAGCGGAAACAAAGGUCCUGGGGCAGGAAAGAGCUGGAGGUCCAAGGAGCAGUGGGUAGAUGCUGUACCAGGACAGCAAAACGAAGGGGGCUGGAGGGAGAGAGUGGCUCUUGUCUUCAUCUGAAUUUCACUUCAAGGA